ensembl:lncRNA LINC01619 long intergenic non-protein coding RNA 1619
CACAGGCUAAUGAUCUCAUGAAAUAAGGAUAAGAGACCACGGUAGCAUCUACCAAAAAUGUGAUACUCAAAGGAUUACAUUUCAUUGCUUCCCUGUUGAAGUGAAGAUAUAAAUGUUCCAUUCUGACCCACCUUUGAAAAACAAUUACUUUGCCCCAUGGAUUCUUUGUUCAAUUAGAAAUUUCCCCGGGGCAGGUGACCCAUAGUCUUAAAGAACAGGCUAAACACCACAGAGAGAUUGGUUGCUUUUUGCUUUUCAUCACCUGCAAGAUGUACAUAAAAAUCACAUAAGCUGGAAUUCAACAAAAGGUGUUGCAGUUUAUGAAAUUGGCCUUCAAGUUAAAAGGAAGGAAGCCGUAUUCCCGAUGGCUAGUGUUUAAUGACUACAGGUUUCCAGGCUCCCUUUAAUCUUGGGAGCAAAUAAAUCUACUAUUGGACUUC